rnacentral:rRNA from 2 species
UGCAAGUCGAACGAUGAACCACUUCGGUGGGGAUUAGUGGCGAACGGGUGAGUAACACGUGGGCAAUCUGCCCUGCACUCUGGGACAAGCCCUGGAAACGGGGUCUAAUACCGGAUACUGACCCUCACGGGCAUCUGUGAGGUUCGAAAGCUCCGGCGGUGCAGGAUGAGCCCGCGGCCUAUCAGCUUGUUGGUGAGGUAAUGGCUCACCAAGGCGACGACGGGUAGCCGGCCUGAGAGGGCGACCGGCCACACUGGGACUGAGACACGGCCCAGACUCCUACGGGAGGCAGCAGUGGGGAAUAUUGCACAAUGGGCGAAAGCCUGAUGCAGCGACGCCGCGUGAGGGAUGACGGCCUUCGGGUUGUAAACCUCUUUCAGCAGGGAAGAAGCGAAAGUGACGGUACCUGCAGAAGAAGCGCCGGCUAACUACGUGCCAGCAGCCGCGGUAAUACGUAGGGCGCGAGCGUUGUCCGGAAUUAUUGGGCGUAAAGAGCUCGUAGGCGGCUUGUCACGUCGGUUGUGAAAGCCCGGGGCUUAACCCCGGGUCUGCAGUCGAUACGGGCAGGCUAGAGUUCGGUAGGGGAGAUCGGAAUUCCUGGUGUAGCGGUGAAAUGCGCAGAUAUCAGGAGGAACACCGGUGGCGAAGGCGGAUCUCUGGGCCGAUACUGACGCUGAGGAGCGAAAGCGUGGGGAGCGAACAGGAUUAGAUACCCUGGUAGUCCACGCCGUAAACGGUGGGCACUAGGUGUGGGCGACAUUCCACGUCGUCCGUGCCGCAGCUAACGCAUUAAGUG